rnacentral:rRNA from 1 species
AUUGAACGCUGGCGGCAUGCCUUACACAUGCAAGUCGAACGGAUUUUUGGAGCUUGCUCCAAGAGUUAGUGGCGAACGGGUGAGUAAAGCAUCGGAACGUGCCCAAUCGUGGGGGAUAACGUAGCGAAAGUUACGCUAAUACCGCAUACGUCCUGAGGGAGAAAGCAGGGGACUCGCAAGAGCCUUGCGCGAAUGGAGCGGCCGAUGUCGGAUUAGCUAGUGGCGGGGUAAAAGCCCACCAAGGCGACGAUCCGUAGCUGGUCUGAGAGGACGACCAGCCACACUGGGACUGAGACACGGCCCAGACUCCUACGGGAGGCAGCAGUGGGGAAUUUUUGACAAUGGGGGAAACCCUGAUCGAGCGACGCCGCGUGGAGGAUGAAGGUCUUCGGGUUGUAAACUCCUGUCAUUUGAGAACAAGGUGCACCGGUUAACGUGCCGGUGCAUUGAUAGUAUCAGAAGAGGGAAGAGACGGCUAACUCUGUGCCAGCCGCCGC